AGUGAACGCUGGCGGUAGGCCUAACACAUGCAAGUCGAACGGCAGCACAGUAAGAGCUUGCUCUUACGGGUGGCGAGUGGCGGACGGGUGUGGAGUACAUCGGAAUCUACUUUUUCGUGGGGGAUAACGUAGGGAAACUUACGCUAAUACCGCAUACGACCUACGGGUGAAAGCAGGGGAUCUUCGGACCUUGCGCGAUUGAAUGAGCCGAUGUCGGAUUAGCUAGUUGGCGGGGUAAAGGCCCACCAAGGCGACGAUCCGUAGCUGGUCUGAGAGGAUGAUCAGCCACACUGGAACUGAGACACGGUCCAGACUCCUACGGGAGGCAGCAGUGGGGAAUAUUGGACAAUGGGCGCAAGCCUGAUCCAGCCAUACCGCGUGGGUGAAGAAGGCCUUCGGGUUGUAAAGCCCUUUUGUUGGGAAAGAAAAGCAGCAGGUUAAUACCCCGCUGUUCUGACGGUACCCAAAGAAUAAGCACCGGCUAACUUCGUG
rnacentral:rRNA from 1 species